UUCAUCAGCAAAUUAAUUUUAUUAAAUACUCACUCCUUCUUAUACUAAGUGACUCAAAUUUUUCUAAAUAUAGACGUAUAUAUACACUAAAAUACGUCUAGAUACAUCUAAUAUCUCGUCACUUGAUAUGGGACGGAAGGAGUAUGUCUUUUUGGUGGGAAAAUUGUAGUAAAUUCAGUAUAAUAUAGUUCAGCGAAAGCAAGCUAAACCCUUAGCAAUGUACUUCCUAAUUCCAAAAUAAAGACUUCACUUAAACCUUGCAAUGGUCAGCAAUAAUUUUUGCGAAAACUGAAAAACCUACAUGUUUCAAACUUGUUGUUGGGGAGGUUAUGACCAUCCUAAACUGAAUGCGAUAUUCUUUUUUAGAAGUUUCAUGGUAAGUACUAAAAAAAGUAUUUAAAAAAAAUGAGGCAAUUGGAUACUGAAUGUUUGUUUACUCCAUCAACUAAAAAUUUGUAUAAAAUGCAUUCUAAAAUUUACUUUCGGUUUCAAUUUACUCCAAUGACGUGCUUUGUACAAUUUUCCACCGUCGUGGCUGCCACACUAGCGAAAGAAGCACAUACAACAUGAGGAACCGAAGUGGCCGGGCAUCAUGUAAUUUUUGUAUUUAGGACCAGACAUUUUGCAAUCUUCACAGCUACGCCUCUCUCAUUUUCUUUAUCUUUCGACACAAGACGACUAAGAAAGUGGUGAACCGUGAGGGGGCAAGCAAGGUACCGGACACGCAUGACUAUCAGCCCGACAUAGAUGGAAUCUUGACAUCGAUGACCUAGCGAUCUUAGCCCAACCAUCAUCAAUCCUCCUCCACUUCUCCUUUCGGUCGACCAUAGUCUGCUUCCAUUUGUCCCCUAGUCAUUACACGUUCAAGGAGCAGACAAGAACAAGACGGCCGCAAGCAUCGUCUACUAUUUGCAUGUCGCCGCCUUCUUUCUGUAUGAUUAUCCAUGCUGAAUUGAAAGAUGGUUUGGGGAGAAAAGGGGAAUUUUCGAAAACUAGAGAUCUGACAAGGGUUUUAGAGCAAAUUUGAGACAUAUUGAGUGAUCUUUUGCAAAAUAAGCUAGCAUGGAAGAAAUUUACUUUCUCGCCGUGCAUGCGUCAUUCGUCGGCAUGGCACACCAUGGUGGCAAAAACUGUCCGAGAUACAUAGCUUUGGAUUAAGGUGAAUCUAAAAGCUAAUUCUAGGGUGCACUUUUCUACCGUGUUCAAGUUGAUGGAAAGGUGAACUUGCCAAAUUCAUGUAUCCACCAUGCAGUUACCUAUUUCCUAAAUGACCUGCCUUUUUCAGUGACAUUUAGUGAAAAAUUCAAGAGAAAAAAACAGAGAUUGGAUGCACAAGUUUGGGUUCAGAGACAGGGCUCACGGGAAUUUAUUUGUGCACAAGGCUAUGACGACAGGGACAGCAGUGAGAAUCCCUGAACAAUAAAAUACUAAAAUCCAAGGGUUUGACAUGGGGUUCAUCAAGCUCAUGCCUUUGUUUUCUAUGGAUUAGUACCUCAUUGCCCUUGUUUAUUCCUGCCAUUCCUCUGCAUCUUGACCUUUUCCUUUUUGCACAUUCAGAGGUACACGCAUCUUCCUUGGCAUUUGCUAUUGCCUUCCUGGUUCCCUCUUCUACACAUUUUAUUAAUUAUUAUUAAUCAGUGGUUACAACUUGUGAUCAUCUGGAGAUUUGUAUAAUGGAGCAUACAUGUCAAUUUUAUUUCCUUUGAGUUAGAUGGAUAGGUGAUGGUCCAUUGCCUCCAUGGUGUAGCCGUGGUAUUUGUUUUUUUCCAGUGGUGGCCCCUCUAAAUAACUCUCAGUUGGUACUAUAGACUGUAGCACUAAUGAAGACAAUUAAGCACGAAAUUUUCUGCGCCAACAAGGACCUACUACUAGGCAUGAAGAUAACACUAUCCAAAUUCUAUCCUAAAAAAAUCCCAAACAGAAGUCACUAAACAGGACAGGAACAACAUCUCAUAUUUUUAAUCAGCAACCAAUCGUGCAACACCUAUGCUUCUACUUUGCACAAACCCCACAUGCAGUUGCCAACUUUCCAUGUCAUGAAUCCUGGUGAUACUUGAUGAGAUCCAGAGAAAGGCUUGGGUGGCUUCUUCAAGGAUCCCAUCUGUCUUUCUUUUUUUUUGCGGAUAUCCCAUCUGUCUUUCCCAUAAAAUAAAUAAAUCACUUUCCUGUUGAAAGGAAGGAAAACUCAUGAUAGCUCCCAAAGAGUAGAUUCAGGAUUGGAUCAUGGGGCACACAAAAUGGGGGUGCUGAUGCUGUGCCAUUUGCAGGACAGAGGACAAUGAGAAGCAUGGGGGUGGUGGUGAGGCAUCUCCAUCCAUCAAUCACUGUCAAUUCUAAGCUUUUCUUCUUCACAAAAACCGGAGAUGUUAUGGAAUAUGGAUUUUUGGUUCAUUAAGACCUUGAGAGGCUGCAGUUGUACGUGUGGAGAGAAAACUUUGAAGUCAAGGGGAGACUAGAAAAAGUUCCAAAGCUUACUCAUUCUGCUCUUGAAUUUAUUUCAGUCGUGUCUUUUCAGUUCUUGGUCAACAGUCAAACCGUGUGGAUGCUGCACCAAGAUAUUUUCCAUCAGUGGACAGAACCUUGAUUGAUGGCGUUCUGUAAUUUGUGAUAAAAUGAUAGUAGCUUCACCGGUUUCAGAAGUGCCGCAUGGAGAUUUACCGUGUGUUAAAAGUUAA